GAUGAACGCUGGCGGCGUGCCUAAUACAUGCAAGUCGAGCGAACGGACGAGCAGCUUGCUUCUCUGAUGUUAGCGGCGGACGGGUGAGUAACACGUGGAUAACCUACCUAUAAGACUGGGAUAACUUCGGGAAACCGGAGCUAAUACCGGAUAAUAUUUUGAACCGCAUGGUUCAAAAGUAAAAGACGGUCUUGCUGUCACUUAUAGAUGGAUCCGCGCUGCAUUAGCUAGUUGGUAAGGUAACGGCUUACCAAGGCAACGAUGCAUAGCCGACCUGAGAGGGUGAUCGGCCACACUGGAACUGAGACACGGUCCAGACUCCUACGGGAGGCAGCAGUAGGGAAUCUUCCGCAAUGGGCGAAAGCCUGACGGAGCAACGCCGCGUGAGUGAUGAAGGUCUUCGGAUCGUAAAACUCUGUUAUUAGGGAAGAACAUAUGUGUAAGUAACUGUGCACAUCUUGACGGUACCUAAUCAGAAAGCCACGGCUAACUACGUG
rnacentral:rRNA from 1 species